AGUGGGGAAUAUUGGACAAUGGGGGCAACCCUGAUCCAGCCAUGCCGCGUGUGUGAAGAAGGCCCUCGGGUUGUAAAGCACUUUCAGCGAGGAAGAACGCCUAGUGGUUAAUACCCAUUAGGAAAGACAUCACUCGCAGAAGAAGCACCGGCUAACUCCGUGCCAGCAGCCGCGGUAAUACGGAGGGUGCAAGCGUUAAUCGGAAUUACUGGGCGUAAAGCGCGCGUAGGUGGCUUGAUAAGCCGGUUGUGAAAGCCCCGGGCUCAACCUGGGAACGGCAUCCGGAACUGUCAGGCUAGAGUGCAGGAGAGGAAGGUAGAAUUCCCGGUGUAGCGGUGAAAUGCGUAGAGAUCGGGAGGAAUACCAGUGGCGAAGGCGGCCUUCUGGACUGACACUGACACUGAGGUGCGAAAGCGUGGGUAGCAAACAGGAUUAGAUACCCUGGUAGUCCACGCCGUAAACGAUGUCGACCAGCCGUUGGGUGCCUAGAGCACUUUGUGGCGAAGUUAACGCGAUAAGUCGACCGCCUGGGGAGUACGGCCGCAAGGUUAAAACUCAAAUGAAUUGACGGGGGCCCGCACAAGCGGUGGAGCAUGUGGUUUAAUUCGAUGCAACGCGAAGAACCUUACCUACCCUUGACAUCUACAGAAGCCGGAAGAGAUUCUGGUGUGCCUUCGGGAACUGUAAGACAGGUGCUGCAUGGCUGUCGUCAGCUCGUGUUGUGAAAUGUUGGGUUAAGUCCCGUAACGAGCGCAACCCUUGUCCUUAUUUGCCAGCGAGUAAUGUCGGGAACUCUAAGGAGACUGCCGGUGACAAACCGGAGGAAGGUGGGGACGACGUCAAGUCAUCAUGGCCCUUACGGGUAGGGCUACACACGUGCUACAAUGGCCGGUACAAAGGGCUGCGAGCUCGCGAGAGUCAGCGAAUCCCUUAAAGCCGGUCUCAGUCCGGAUCGGAGUCUGCAACUCGACUCCGUGAAGUCGGAAUCGCUAGUAAUCGUGAAUCAGAAUGUCACGGUGAAUACGU
rnacentral:rRNA from 1 species